GCCUCGAAUUACAGAGUAUUUUCCUGUUGUUAUCUUCGAAAUGAGUGAUCACAACUGGCCAUAUUAGCUCCGGUUAUUACUGGCUUUUUAAUAACUGCGUGCUGGAAUCCCAACCGGCAUUUCAGUUUGAUCCUUUGCCAUGUAUCCACUUACAUGUUGAUCUCGGGAAGUUGCAUUCAAGGGGAUGAAAGGAUGUUAGUCUAUGAGUACAUGCCAAACAAGAGUUUAGAUGCCUUCCUGUUUGACGGAAAAAAGCAGAUGUCUCUGGAUUGGGAAAGACGGUACAACAUCAUUCUGGGAAUUGCUCGAGAACUUCUCUAUGUUCAUCAAGAUUCUAGAUUCCAAAUUAUUCAUAGGGAUCUUAAAGCAAGCAACAUUCUCCUUGACAACGAGAUGAACCCCAAAAUUUCGGACUUUGGCUUGGCUAGAGCUUUCGACGGAGAAGAAACAAAAAUAACGACUAAGAGAAUAGUUUUUUUGGUCAAUGAAAAAAUUAUAUUCAUUAAACCAUUUUGUAAA